AAUAGAUACCCCGGUAGUCCACGCCGUAAACGAUGAGUGCUAGGUGUUAGGGGGUUUCCGCCCCUUAGUGCUGAAGUUAACGCAUUAAGCACUCCGCCUGGGGAGUACGGCCGCAAGGCUGAAACUCAAAAGAAUUGACGGGGGCCCGCACAAGCGGCGGAGCAUGUGGUUUAAUUCGAAGCAACGCGAAGAACCUUACCAGGUCUUGACAUCCGCUGACAAUCUUGGAGACAAGACGUUCCCUUCGGGGACAGCGUGACAGGUGGUGCAUGGUUGUCGUCAGCUCGUGUCGUGAGAUGUUGGGUUAAGUCCCGCAACGAGCGCAACCCUUGAUUCUAGUUGCCAGCAUUAAGUUGGGCACUCUAGAGUGACUGCCGGUGACAAACCGGAGGAAGGUGGGGAUGACGUCAAAUCAUCAUGCCCCUUAUGACCUGGGCUACACACGUGCUACAAUGGAUGGUACAAAGGGCAGCAAAGUCGCGAGGCUAAGCAAAUCCCAUAAAACCAUUCUCAGUUCGGAUUGCAGGCUG
rnacentral:rRNA from 1 species